rnacentral:rRNA from 1 species
GACGAACGCUGGCGGCGUGCUUAACACAUGCAAGUCGAGCGAGAAGGCGUAGCAAUACGUUUGUAAAGCGGCGAACGGGUGAGGAAUACAUGGGUAACCUACCCUCGAGUGGGGAAUAACUAGCCGAAAGGUUAGCUAAUACCGCGUACGCUCCUUGGACUUCGGUUCAGGGAGGAAAGCGAUACCGUGGGUAUCGCGCUCUUGGAUGGGCUCACGUCCUAUCAGCUUGUUGGUGAGGAACGGCUCACCAAGGCUUCGACGGGUAGCUGGUCUGAGAGGACGAUCAGCCACACUGGCACUGCGACACGGGCCAGACUCCUACGGGAGGCAGCAGUAAGGAAUAUUGCGCAAUGGGCGAAAGCCUGACGCAGCGACGCCGCGUGGGGGA